UACGUAGGUGGCAAGCGUUAUCCGGAUUUACUGGGUUUAAAGGGCGUGUAGGCGGUUUUGUAAGUCAGAUGUGAAAUCUCCGGGCUUAACUCGGAAACUGCAUCUGAAACUAUAAAACUUGAGUACUGUAGAGGAUAGUGGAAUUCCUAGUGUAGUGGUAAAAUGCGUAGAGAUAUGGAGGAACACCAGUGGCGAAGGCGGCUUCCUGGUCUGUAACUGACACUGAGGCGCGAAAGCGUGGGGAGCAAACAGGAUUAGAUACCCCGGUAGUCCCUGAG
rnacentral:rRNA from 1 species